rnacentral:lncRNA from 1 species
UUUUUCCAUGCAUAAUGUUUUUGGAAAUUGAUAGAUGAAGUGUAACAACAAAGAAAUGUUUUCAAUAGAUUUACAUAUCCAUUUGCUAUAUCUUUUACAUCUUUCUAUUAGGAUCAAACGACUUUAUGCUCUUCGUUUUUGAAAACUAUAUUACAUCAAUUGCGAAAAAAUAGAUUUUUACAAUAAAAUGCUUUCAUCCUAUCCAAAUGUGGAUCAAGGCUCUAUCUGUCUGUCUACAAAGUAUUAACAACAUAGCAGCAUUCUUGUGAAUUAUAAAGAUAAAGCAUACUAACUACUACAUAUAGAGGAAGUUUGAUUUAUAUGAGCGUGCUUCUAUACGAAUUUUUUGUUCCACGACGGAAACGACUUUUAAAUAAACUCAUGAGAAAUUCCAACGAAGCUUAAACAUUGCCUUUCAAGUGUCAAAAUAAUUAUUGCUUUCGUUCACUAAAAUCAUUAAAUCAUUUUACAAAAAAAAAAAAAAAAAAAUACGUAUUGCUUUUCGAGUAAGGAUAAAUAGUAUCAUAAUCAACUUUCAAACUUAUCAAUCACCCACGUUGGUAAUUGCUUCUCUGACUUGGGGCCAAGAACAGCGGUAUAGCUCUUUUUUGGAUUUACCAAAUAUUUUUUGGCAACGGCCUUCAAAUCAUUCGCUGAAACAUUUAGUAGCUGCUUUCGCCUAUUUUGAAGCAUUUCGUCUGUAACCCCAUCGACAAAGUAAAGCAUUCCUUUUUGGCUUUCACUAACCGGGCUAUCAAUUCCUUGAAAUACUGCUAGUUUGGCUUCAUCUAUAUCUCUCUGAGAAAACUCGUGAGUGGUUGCCCAUUCAGAUGCCUCGUCAAAAACUGAUAAAGAACGUAUUGGAUCGGAAUCCCGAUAAGUAAAGAAAGACAGUACACCAUCUAUACCACUGUAAGAAAGACCAGCCCCAUAUGCGCCUCCUUUCUCACGAAUUUCACCAUGCAGAUAUUUGUGUGUCAAAAGCGAUGAAAGAAUUUGAAGCGGUGCUCCAUCUGGAUGGGUAUAUGGAACGCCUAAACAAGACUUCGCAGCGAAAUAGGUUUGAAAAGGUAAUUCAUGAUAGGUUUUAAUAGAAUUAAUACCAUUUCGUUCCUUGGAAGUCGAUUUGGUCUGAGUUUGUUGAUUGACUCCCCGUGACUUCAUAAAUUUUUGUAACGCCUUUUCAACAACUUCAUGUUGUGUAGGGCUUGCGUUUAUAGCAGCUUUAAAACCAGAUGUGCCUCGUAAAAUUUCACGAAUAGCUGUAAGCUUUUCGACUAACGGACCAAAGCUUUCUUCUCUAGAUAACUGGCUUAACAGCUUUACUUGAGUAAGACCACCAAGUUGUUCAGUAAUACUUGUUUUCUCGGUGAGACCUGAUGCAGAUGAAACUUUGGCAAAUGAAUGUCCUUUUUCAGCAAUUCCAUCCGUAAUUCCACUAACCGACGUCUUCAACAUUAUUGCUAACUUGUCUGUGUUGGAUAAAUUAGUAUUCCAAAACGCUUUGUUAAUCAAUUCCACCAAUUUCCCAACAUUCUUGUCCAAGGCAUAACCAGAGAUAGCUAUUCCUAGUUCAUAUUUUGAGACAUCACUGUUGUUUGUCACUGCUGAUGGAGAAAUACUGAUACCACCAGUGUAUCUACGGAUUUGGUGUUCCAAAUCACCAAUGCUUUCAGAAUGAGUUCCUAAGUUUAAGCAGGCAUCGCAAUAUACGGGUAGAUAAGGUAUCAACGAUUCCGGGAAAUUUUUCAAGGGUAAAAGAAGUCUUAUAUAAGUCAAGCCAGCAGCCAAAUCGUACCACUGUGCUUUCAUACCAGCUAUAUCCAAAAAUUUAAGUUUAGUUUCAUCUAUAGUCUCGGGAAUAUCAGAGACACUCAGAGUUGGAAGGCAACUAGUAUCAGCAGGAGUUGAUUGAGCUUCCAACAAUUUAACACUAGUCUUCUCAAUUUCUGCUAUAUCCUCGUCCGUGAGUUUAGAGGUUCGUUCCUGCAGCUUCUUGGCUUCAGCUUCUUGUAAUCUUUGGGGAAACGUGGAGGAGGGAAGCAUUGUAAAAACGAACCUUGACUUAUUCUCAA